UUGAUGGAGAAGCUUAGAAGGCAAAGAAAGCCACCUCCACCUCUGUUUCUAGAGAUUACCAUUCAUUGUUUUUUUUUUAUACGCAUAGCAUUCCCUUCCCCUAACCUCUGUCUGUCUGGUGAAAUGGGCAGAAGGGAUAGAGCAGAUGAGGGGGAUCAGAAAGAGAAGGGGUGCUCACAGAAAAAAUAAGGGGACAAAAAAAAAGGGAGCUGGUCUUUGAUUCAGUUGGGGUCCAUAUUCACAAAGAGAUCACUCAGAGAUUUCAUACAAAUGGCAGGAGCAGAAUGCGAGCACACCGAGGGGCCUAAUGCAGGCACUUGUCCUGUAAUCAAAGAUUCAGCUCGACGUGAGUCCUUUGUGAGACAACAGCAUCAUUCUCCACCCGGGUUCACCCCUGAAUGCAGAGCAGCUCUCUAAAGCAAGGCAGGACGAGCCUCGCCUUUCUUUGUCUUGGUUGGAAAAUAUCAUUUUUUUCCUUCUCCUAUUUUCCUCUUUUCCUCAUUCGUUUCUCUUCUAAAGAAAACAAGCUCUCACUGUGCCUCUAGUGAAGCUGAGGAUGUUUGCGUGAGGGAGGCACUGACGGGGAGAGGAGAGCAGAGCAGCAGAUGGGCGGAAUGGAAUGGCGGGGCGAGAGCGGCUCAGCCUGCCGUGGUGGGACGUGCGGCAGCAUGGCUGACAGCUCCAGGCAGCGAGCACCAUGGCGUCCUCCUCUGCUAAAACCUUGGAAUACAAAACCCUGAUUCAAAGGACAAGUUCAUGCCUUUCCUGGCACUUGUAGAGGAAUUUCUCUGUGUUGAAGAAGGAAUGUCAGGAAAGACUUUAGGGUGUUUGAGAGCUUCAUCAGCAAACAAGGAAUGUUUGCAGGUCCAAGACCAGGAAAGUUGGCCAAAGAACAGUGAUAAGCAACAGAGAGCACCUUGCAAAUUCAGAUGGUUACUACACACAGUGGAAACACAGGAGAUGGAGGAGAAAGGACAGACUGAUGGACAUUGGUGCACAUGCUGGGAAACCAACCCAAGAAGCAGUGAGGACAAGGAUCCCAACAAGGACUCCAGCUCACUUCUAUUCAACUGUAUUAUUUGAGACUUAAGCUGCUGCAAAUGAGCAGCAGCUGUGGCUUUACCUUCCUGGACCAUUUUGGGGAGCCUUGAAGUCCCUUCUCUGCAAUGUUCUGUGUUCCUGCCCCAAAUGGAUACCUCCAGCUGCAGUAUGAAGAAGUGCUUACACUGGAGACUGAAACUAAAUAUCCAUCUAAUUCCCCUGAUUCAAGGGAAUUGAGUUGCAUACCUAGAAUACUCCCCACAGAUUGCUCCUGGGCAGGAUGGUUACCACUCCGAUCAGAGGCUGGAUGAAUCUAGUGAGAUCUCAGUUCACCUCCUCCAUGCAGGGUUACAGUCCGUAGGAUGAUUAAAAUCCAUUCCCAGCGGGGAGUGUUAUGACCCGUCCUUGAGAUUAAUAAUUUCCUCCAGUUUAUCAGUGCACACAGCAAAGGAGACAUAGGAGGAAAUCAACUGUAAAUGGCAUCUUCAAUAAUGAAGGAAAAAGCUGGAUAUCCAGAAGUCUGUUUCCUAGGCAACUGGAUGGAGGGACAAUCAGAAUCUCUCAAUUGCACCCCAUUAUAGAUAUUUUCUACACAGAUCAGUAAAAGGAAGAAAAAGGCCUUCCAUGUACCUGGAGGUCCCCCAGCCUGUGGGAGGAGCAGCGCUCCCCUGUCCCUACAUGUGCACAGAGCAGCUGCCCAGUGCUGCAGCCCUGCCAGAACCUGUCUUCAUCAUCAGUGCAUGCUGCUCUGUGUUUGCACACUUCGUGAGACCGAAGGUGUUGUGCAGCUCCAUGUCUUGUGCCAGAUGGAUGUGCACUAGCUCCAGCAGAUCCCAGGACAGAGCUAUUUAACCAAACACGCCAGUGCCUUCUCCAGAAAGACUAACAAAGCCAGCUGACUGCUCCCAGCCCAGCAGGGCAGCAACUUUUGGUUUAUAUUCACUGUUUUGUUGUACUGUAGCACGUCUUUGUAUUACAGAAAGCUAUCCUGAUAUUUUGUAUGAAAUCAAGAUAAACAAACACUUUUCACUUUUUACACUGUGAUCCUUCCCAGAGCUGAUUUCCUGAAGGUUCAUCCAGAUCUGGGACAAUAUCUACGUGAUUGCAAACCAUUCCAUGGCUCUGUUAGCCAAUAUUCCUCUAAGCCACAGACAAAUAUAGUCAGGAUAGAAAUGAAGUAUUUGACUAGCUGGAGCCCAGAGUGUCAGAGUUGUAUAACAGUCUGCAGAAAUACUGCCAGAGAAGUCUUCUGGAGGAUAAACAAAAAUAGCAUAGAGUAGUGCAUAAAAAGAAUGGUGAUAUUAACCUUUAAGUGCAGAAAUGAAAAUCAGGUACCAAUGAUAUUACCAGUUGAGAAGCAAAGUCCUCCAACAAGACAUUUUAAAAUCAUUUCAGCUUUUAAUUAUGAUGUUGUGGAACAAAAGCUGUAAAAAUAAAUCCUGUCUAAGAAAUUGCCCACUUUGAAAUGUUUCUCCCGAAGAUCUUAGUGGAUCUGUGUCUCAUUUGACAUGGGUUCUGUAAUUGUGUGUAGGCCUAAUGUGGAUCUCUAAUAAUGAUCUUUAAAGGAAUGUCUAGAACAUAAUUAUUACUAUGACAAACAAGAGAAGAUGUUUAUUUAGGCUGAAACUGUGUACGCAACAUAUGGUCCCUUCUAUACAUUUUAAAACAAAGUUGCCAAAUAUUCUUCCCCACAUAACUAAUGGUCUGCAGAGACAUAAUACAUGAACUGUAGCUGAUUCAUGCAGUAAUUUGAAAGAAUAUGUAAUUCUCAACUAUAUAUAGUAAAACACUGAUAAUGUAGGCAGGCAACAUUCUCUGAGAACAGAAAGUUUGGGAACCACUGCUUGGGAUGUAAUACUUCAAGGCCUGAAAUGUCACCCUCACUAAAGGACAAAGAUGUAACGAAAUAGAUUGUUAGUCCUUAAGUUAGACUGUCUUAGAGAAGAGAGCGGUUUCAGGUGACCUCCAAAGAUCACUUCCAAAUGAAAUCUUUCUGUGGUUUGAUUGUGUGAAUGAUUUUGUGAAUGCGUGCACUCUACCAAAGAGCCUACCCAACACAGUGGAGCCAAAAGAAUAUGACUGCAAGCCAGGCGUGUUGGGUGCCAAAAUAACUGCUGCAAACCUCUGGAAAAUGAAACCUAUGAUACAAUUCUCACAGGUGUUUCCAGUCUACAACUUCCAUUAAAACAAAACAACAAGAAGACCAGAAAAAUUAUCAGACAGUUACUGCUCUUGAGUGACCACCAUCACCUCAGUCCUGUAUGAGAGUCAAAAAAAGGUCCCUUCUCACAACCCACAGAAUGCCCCACUGAGAAAAAAUAUGAGUGUUUAUACACAGUUCCAUUAGGCUAAAAAAUCUAGGGAACCAAACAUAAAGGAACAUAUUCCUAUCUAGACCUCUUAUUGCAACUGCUUAUUAUUAGUAUUAUUAUUAUUUAUUGAGAAGUUUGAAAAGGACUGACUUGAAGAAUAUGUUUCUCAAAAUGCAGUAACUGGAAAUUUUGUUUUGUUUCGCAGUCAUUCUCAAAGUUACAGAUGUGCAUCUAUUAUCAUUGUUUGCAGGUUAUGUUUUCAAGCUUCACCUCAAUAUUUUUCUAUAUGGAUGUUGUAAUCAGCUGUUAGACAAACAGGACCUGGACAAGUUUCUAGCAAAAAAAUCUUUUUUUUUACACAAUUUAUUUACCCGAAGCCUAAUGAUUAAAGCUCAGGAAACUUCUGGGUCCCCGUUAACACUGCCUAGCACAGGGCACGCAGAUCCAUGACAUGGCUGAAGUCUGUGAUCAUGAGUUUUUACAUGAGAGCUCUGUCUGCUCCUGGACCUAUUGUGACUUGAGCAUCCCAACCUGGC
ensembl:lncRNA